rnacentral:pre_miRNA from 1 species
AACGUCACAACCUGUGGGCAGUGCAGACCAAUAGCUUGUUGCCACGUCACAGGUCUGUAAGACGUGGCAACCAGCAACUGGUCUCCACUGCCCACAGGUUGUGACGUUG